UACAGAGGUCCCAAGCGUUGUUCGGAUUCACUGGGCUUAAAGGGUGCGUAGGCGGUCGGGUAAGUCUGAUGUGAAAUCUCACAGCUUAACUGUGAAACUGCAUUGGAUACUAUCCGGCUAGAGGAAUGGAGAGGAGACUGGAAUUUACGGUGUAGCAGUGAAAUGCGUAGAGAUCGUAAGGAAGACCAGUGGCGAAGGCGGGUCUCUGGACAGUUCCUGACACUGAGGCACGAAGGCCAGGGGAGCAAACGGG
rnacentral:rRNA from 1 species